rnacentral:rRNA from 1 species
GUGGGGAAUAUUGGACAAUGGGCGCAAGCCUGAUCCAGCCAUGCCGCGUGUGUGAAGAAGGCCUUCGGGUUGUAAAGCACUUUAAGUUGGGAGGAAGGGUAGUAACCUAAUACGUUGCUACUUUGACGUUACCGACAGAAUAAGCACCGGCUAACUUCGUGCCAGCAGCCGCGGUAAUACGAAGGGUGCAAGCGUUAAUCGGAAUUACUGGGCGUAAAGCGCGCGUAGGUGGUUCAGUAAGUUGGAAGUGAAAUCCCCGGGCUCAACCUGGGAACUGCUUUCAAAACUGCUGAGCUAGAGUACGGUAGAGGGUGGUGGAAUUUCCUGUGUAGCGAUGAAAUGCGUAGAUAUAGGAAGGAACACCAGUGGCGAAGGCGACCACCUGGACUGAUACUGACACUGAGGUGCGAAAGCGUGGGGAGCAAACAGGAUUAGAUACCCGAGUAGUCC